GGGUACUAGUCGGGUUCCUUACGGAUGAGCCACAGUGGGAACUCCUGUGGAUUAUUUCUUAAGUGUGCUAAAAUCAGGGCUCUCUCUCUCUUACACACACACACACACACACACACACACACACUUUCUCUGGCUGGAACUGUUAUCCAUGGAACAGUUAUCACUGUUGGGAUGAAAAGCAGCAUAGCACACUGGCAUGCAAGAUGGAAGAUAAAAAAAAGAAACCAAAUCCAGCCUAAUACAGGGGAAAAUAUGGGAGAGACAUCUGGAAAAUUGUAGUUCUGGAUUUUAGUCCUUAUCUGUCUUUGGCAUCCUUAGGACGUUUCUGUUUAAUGAAUUUGUUGUUGUUGUUGUUCAAGCUAUUUCAAAUUCCAUUCUCUCACUUGUUAACAAAACAGUUCCAAGUAGUUUUAUCACCCAGUCAUACCCACUGGCACAGGAAAGCAAGAGCUGGUUGCCACUAUUUCGCUCAUAUUCUUUGACUGGUCUAUAUUACGGUGGCUUUUCCAGAAGAACCUGAGAUGAUCACUCUGCAGGAGUUCAAACCUUCUCUACUGCCUGUAAAUCCAGGCAUCCCAGCCUUUCUCUCAACUCUGGUUGGACAUUAAAAUCACUUGAGGAAUAUUUUAAGAUGCUGACACCUGGGCUCCACAUCAGACCACAUAUAUAAGAGUCUCUGGAAGUGUGACCCAGCACUGAUAUUUAUUGAGCAUCUGUCAUGACCAAGGUCAAGUGUGCUCCCAGGGUGCUUCAGGAAGCUACGACACCACCACAGGGAAAUAUGGCAGUACAUGGUGGGCGACGUUAGAAGGAAUGUUCAAUAUUCUUCCCACUUAUGAUCAACUUAUCAACAACUGUAAUAAAUGAGACUGCUUGAAGAGAA